rnacentral:rRNA from 1 species
GUGGGGAAUCUUGCGCAAUGGGCGAAAGCCUGACGCAGCCAUGCCGCGUGAAUGAUGAAGGUCUUAGGAUUGUAAAAUUCUUUCACCGGGGACGAUAAUGACGGUACCCGGAGAAGAAGCUCCGGCUAACUUCGUGCCAGCAGCCGCGGUAAUACGAAGGGGGCUAGCGUUGCUCGGAAUUACUGGGCGUAAAGGGCGCGUAGGCGGACAGCUUAGUCAGAGGUGAAAGCCCAGGGCUCAACCUUGGAAUUGCCUUUGAUACUGACUGUCUUGAGUUUGGGAGAGGUGAGUGGAACUCCGAGUGUAGAGGUGAAAUUCGUAGAUAUUCGGAAGAACACCAGUGGCGAAGGCGACUCACUGGCCCAAUACUGACGCUGAGGCGCGAAAGCGUGGGGAGCAAACAGGAUUAGAAACCCUUGUAGUCC